rnacentral:rRNA from 1 species
UACGUAGGGUGCGAGCGUUGCCCGGAUUUAUUGGGCGUAAAGGGCGCGUAGGCGGCCACGCACGUCCGUUGUGAAAUCGCCCGGCUCAACUGGGCUAGGUCAGCGGAUACGGUGUGGCUCGAGCAAGCUAGGGGGCAAUGGAAUUCCCGGUGUAGUGGUGGAAUGCGUAGAUAUCAGGAGGAACACCAGUGGCGAAGGCGGUCUCCUGGGGCAUUCUUGACGCUGAGGAGCGAAAGCGUGGGGGAGCGAACAGG